rnacentral:rRNA from 1 species
AUUGAACGCUGGCGGCAGGCCUAACACAUGCAAGUCGAGCGAGUGGCGGACGGGUGAGUAAUGUCUGGGAAAAUGCAUGAUGGAGGGGGAUAACUACUGGAAACGGUAGCUAAUACCGCAUACCAUCAGAUGUGCCCAGCUGGGAUUAGCUUGUAGGUGGGGUAAUGGCUCACCUAGGCGACGAUCCCUAGCUGGUAUGAGAGGAUGACCAGCCACACUGGAACUGGGACACGGUCCAGACUCCUACGGGAGGAAGCAGUGGGGAAUAUUGCACAAUGGGAGCAAGCCUGAUGCAGCCAUGCCGCGUGUAUGAAGAAGGCCUUCGGGUUGUAAAGCACGUUCAGCGGGGAGGCGUUACUCGCAGAAGAAGCACCGGCUAACUCCGUGCCAGCCGCCGCGGUAAUAC